UUUGUUUGUCUGUUUUGAUUCUGAAAAUUUUCCCAUGAAAAUAUUGAAAGGUCAAUUGUUGGUGAAUUUUUCUUUCUUACUACCUGUUUUCUGAAAAUUUCUCAGAUUUGCAGCUCAUUGUUAUAAAACAAUGGAUUUGGGAUCCUUUACAUUCUUAUUUUUGUCAUUGAAAUUUAACAAGUUUAUCUAUGCAUAAAUCCUGUACUUUCAGUUCUAAAAGGGCAUGAAGGUUUCAUUCUUGACAAGCAUCACUUUUGCAUGUUCUUAUCAAUACUUCUUUUUUUUUUUUGAAAGAAAGUCAUUGAUGUAGGACGGAUGGCCGAAGAAAUCGAGGAACAAAUUGAUCGUUGCAGGUCCAAACCCAGUUUGCUGCAGAUUUGGCGUUCGGUGUCCGAAUGACUAUUAUUAUACCUUUCUGGAAGCGGAACUGCCCAACGAAUAAGACUCGCCGUUUCGUCACGACGUAUGGGCUUUUUCGGCCAUCCGAGUUUGUUUCGGACCUUAAAUCAGCGUUUUAUUAGUUUUUGGGAUUUUAUGUUUCCUAGUUCUUUUCGGAUUGUGUUUUGAUUCAAUCCUUGGGCUUUUAGGUUUGGUUGUUAGUCGCCCUAGGGUUUUGUUUUCCAUAUAUAAGCACCCUUUUGGGUAGCUGAGAGGCAGUUUAUUAAUUAUAAUUCAGAAUUUAAGAGUUUUACUCUUAGUCCUUGGCGCGCUCCAGGUUUUGGUCCUAUAGAGUUCUUCGCUUGAAGACUCUCCACAUAUUAGGGUUUAACGCUGGUUAGCCCCCAUACUCCUGCUGCGUCAAGUGGUAUCAGAGCCAGACGUUCCUGUCUCUUUUAUCCUUGAUCAUGGGUGACGCACCGAUUACUAGAGCAGACCGAGAAGGUAUCCUAGAAGGUGUUACUGCGAAUUUUACCGUAGCCCUUGCUACGUUGACUAAUCAGGUGAACGAAUUGAAGACUGAUAAUAACAAUAGGAAGCGUGGAGAAGGCAGAGCUAUUCCUCAACAUAGGGUUCCACGAGGGAGAGGAACCACAAUUGCUAGCAGCUCUGAGUCUGAUUCAGAAGAUGAAGUUGUUGAUCUGGCGCAAUUAGGGCAAGAUGAUAAGGAUUUCAGGAUGAAGGUUGAUAUCCCUUUCUUUAAUGGGAUGAUGAACGUGGAGGAAUUUCUGGAUUGGCAAAUUGAAGUGGACAGAUUCAUAGAGCAUAUGAAUGUCGCGGAACAUAAGCAAGUGAAGUUGGCGGCAGCUCGUCUCAAGAGCACUGCGGCAGUUUGGUGGGAUAAGUUGGCAUUGACGAGAUUGAGACAGAGAAAAAAACCCGUCAAGAAUUGGCGGAGGAUGAAACAGUUGAUGACAGAACGAUUCCUGCCAGAGGACUAUGAACAGAUUCUUUACAGGAUGUACCUAGAUUGUGUUCAAGGGGCGAAGACUGUAACAGAGUAUACCGUUGAGUUUGUGCGUCUUUCUGAGCGCAAUGACUUAGGCGAAUCUGAAGGGCAGAAGGUUGCUCGGUACAUCAGUGGGUUGAGACCUUCCAUACAAGAGAAGAUUGGCUUACAAACUAUGUGGUCUAUGACUGAGGCUGCAAGUUUGGCGAUAAAGGCGGAGCUGAUGGAGAGAUCCCCUAGAGUUUCUUUUCAGUUUCCAAGAUUCACUAGUCAGAGGAGUACUAAAGUCGGGAGUUCUGUUGGAGAUAAAGGGAAAACAAUGACGCAGAAUACGAGUGGAAUGACCACUAGGGCUUCUAGUGCUGUUAACAAAGAGGGUGGCGUUUCUGGUUUUGGCAGUACUAGCAGGGCAACUCGGGCAGCACCUGUGCAGCGACCUUUUAACCCUUAUACAAGGCCUUUCCCAGGUACUUGUUAUAGGUGUUUACAGCCUGGUCAUAGAUCCAACGAGUGUACUGCCCCUCCGAAGGUGGUUAAAGCAGUUCAGGCUUUAGUCGAGGCCUGUGAGGGGGAAGACGAGGCGGAGGAAGGAGGCGAUGACUAUGAAGGGGCUGAAUUUGCAGUGGAAGAUUCUCCAGAAAAGGUGAACAUUGUAUUGCAGAGAAUUCUGUUGUCUCCCAGGAAGGAGGACGGUCAAUGUAAGAACCUUUUCAGAUCGCAUUGUUCUGUCAACAACAAGGUGUGUAAUUUGAUUGUGGAUAAUGGGAGUUGUCGAAAACUUUGUUGCUGAAAAGUUAGGUAGAGUAUUUGCAGUUGCCAAAAGAGGCCCAUGUGAUGCCCUAUUCUCUGGGUUGGGUGAAGAAAGGUCCUCAAGUGCGUGUAACCAGAACCUGUAAAGUGUCUGUUUCGAUUGGUAAGCAUUAUAGGGAUGAAGUAGUUUGUGAUGUUCUGGACAUGGAUGCUUGUCAUAUUCUGUUUGGGCGCCCUUGGCAGUAUGAUGUUGAUGUUACUUACAGGGGUCGGGAUAAUGUGAUGUUGUUUAUGUGGGGUGAAUUUAAGAUUGCUAUGGCUCCUGUGGUGAACUUUGUCAAACCUGUAGAAAAGAAGAGGGAGAAUUUUCUAAUCUUGUCCAAGAAUGAACGAGAGAUAGAGGAAGACUUUAAGGAGUCAGAGUUGUGUUGUCCUGUGGUGAUUAAGGGGUUGUUUAGUGCAGAAAAAGAACCUGUGGAGAUCCCUGAAGAAGUACAACAGUUGCUUAAGGGAUUUGAGGAGUUGAUUUCUGAUGAGCUCCGAGAUAAAACUAUUGCCAGCUUGGAGAAACGGUAUUUUUGGCCCCAUUUGAGGAGGGAUGCCACGGCAAUUGUCCGGAAGUGCUAUGUUUGUCAGGUUUCUAAAGGUCAGUCUCAAAAUACUGGUCUUUAUACACCUUUACCUGUUCCUGAAGACAUUUGGCAGGAUCUUUCAAUGGAUUUUGUGCUGGGUUUGCCGCGUACACAGAGGGGAGCGGAUUCUGUAUUUGUGGUUGUUGACAGGUUUUCUAAGAUGUCGCACUUCAUUGCUUGUAAGAAGACCUCGGAUGCUACCCACAUAGCCAAGCUAUUUUUCAGGGAGGUCGUGCGUUUGCAUGGGGUUCCACGAUCUAUCACUUCUAACAGAGAUUCGAAAUUCCUUAGUCAUUUCUGGAUCACUUUGUGGCGGAUGUUUGGGACAGCUUUGAACAAGAGUAGCACUGCGCAUCCUCAGACUGAUGGGCAGACUGAGCUUACCAACCGAACUCUAGGUAAUAUGGUCAGGAGUGUAUGUGGAGACAAACUAAAAAGUUGGGAUAAUGCUUUGCCACAGGUGGAGUUUGCUUACAAUAGUGCUGUGCAUAGUGCUACUGGAAAAUCAUCUUUUUCAUUGGUGUAUACUGCUGUUCCAAAACAUGUGGUGGAUUUAGUCAAGCUGCCACGGGGUCAUGGUGUUAGUGUUGCUGUUGAAAAUAUGGCCAAGGAAGUGCAAAAAGUUCGUGAGUCAGUUAGGGCUAAACUGGAAGCCACUAAUGCAAAGAAUAAGGCUGCAGCUGACAAGCAUCGCCGGGUUAAGUUAUUCAAGGAAGGUGAUGACGUUAUGGUGUUUUUGCGGAAGGAGAGGUUUCCUGUUGGUACCUACAAUUAGCUGCAACCCAAGAAGUAUGGUCCUUUCAAGGUUCUACGGAAGAUCAAUGACAAUGCUUAUGUUGUUGCACUUCCUAAUUCUAUGUCCAUUUCCAAUACCUUUAAUGUGGCUGAUAUUUAUGAAUACCAUGCGGAUGAGGCUCUUUAUCCUGUUGAGAACUCGGGGUCGAGUUCUUCGGAGGUGGAGGAGACUGAUGUAGGACGGAUGGCCGAAGAAAUUGAGGAACAAAUUGAUCGUUGCAGGUCCAAACCCGGUUUGCUACAGAUUUGGCGUUUGGUGUCCGAAUGACUAUUAUUAUACCUUUCUGGAAGUGGAACGGCCCAACGAACAAGACUAGUCGCUUUGCCAUGACGUAUGGGCUUUUUCGGCCAUCCGAGUUUGUUUCGGACCUCAAAUCAGCGUUUUAUUAGUUUUUGGGAUUUUAUGUUUCCUAGUUCUUUUCGGAUUGUGUUUUGAUUCAAUCCUUGGGCUUUUAGGUUUGGUUGUUAGUCGCCCUAGGGUUUUGUUUUCCAUAUAUAAGCACCCUUUUGGGUAGCUGAGAGGCAGUUUAUCAAUUAUAAUUCAGAAUUUAAGAGUUUUACUCUUAGUCCCUGGCGUGCUCCAGGUUUUGAUCCUAUAGAGUUCUUCGCUUGAAGACUCUCCACAUAUUAGGGUUUAACGCUGAUUAGCCCCCAUACUCCUGCUGCGUCAGUCAUACCAAUUGAAGGUUAGUUUAGUUAAUGUAUCAUUUUCCUAAGUGUCGAUUGAUAUUGUCUUAUACUAUUGUUAAAUUUGAAGGUACUAUCACCCUUAUUUUGCAUGACUACAUAUGCUGCUCUUAGGCUGAUCGAUCCUUGCAACAGAAAGAGAGUUUGAUAUCGCAUCGUUUAAGAGAAUUGAUAGUAAGGUUUUAAAACUUUUAUCCCUAGGUUGUUUUGUAG
rnacentral:lncRNA from 1 species